AUUGAACGCUGGCGGCAGGCCUAACACAUGCAAGUCGAGCGGAUGAAGGGAGCUUGCUCCUGGAUUCAGCGGCGGACGGGUGAGUAAUGCCUAGGAAUCUGCCUGGUAGUGGGGGAUAACGUCCGGAAACGGGCGCUAAUACCGCAUACGUCCUGAGGGAGAAAGUGGGGGAUCUUCGGACCUCACGCUAUCAGAUGAGCCUAGGUCGGAUUAGCUAGUUGGUGGGGUAAAGGCCUACCAAGGCGACGAUCCGUAACUGGUCCGAGGGGAUGAUCAGUCACCCUGGAACGGAAGAACCGACCAGGAGCCUACGGGAGGGCGCAGUGGGGAAUAUUGGACAAUAGGGGGAAAGCUUGUCCAGCCAUGCCGCGUGUGUGAAGAAGGUCUUCGGAUUGUAAAGCACUUUAAGUUGGGAGGAAGGGCAGUAAGUUAAUACCUUGCUGUUUUGACGUUACCAACAGAAUAAGCACCGGCUAACUUCGUG
rnacentral:rRNA from 1 species